rnacentral:rRNA from 1 species
AUUGAACGCUGGCGGCAGGCUUAACACAUGCAAGUAGAACGAGCGGCAGACGGGAGAGUAAUGUAUGGGGAUAUGCCCGAUAGAGGGGGAUGACUACUGGAAACGGUGGCUAAUAACGCAUAAUAUCGGAUGAACCCAUAGGGGAUGAGCGAGUUGGUGAGGUACAGGCUCACAAAGGCGACGAUCCCUAGCUGGUCUACGAGGAUGACCAGCCACCCGGGGACUGAGACACGGCACAGACGCCUACGGGAGGCAGCAGUGGGGAAUAUUGGGCAAUGGGUGAAACCCUGACGCAGCCAUGCCGCGUGAGUGAAGAAGGCCUUCGGGUUGUAAAGUUCUUUAGGUAGCGAGGCGUUAACUACAGAAUAAGCACCGGCUAACUCCGUGCCAGCAGCCGCGGUAAUAC